AAGCUAAAUAUUGGCGAGAGACCGAUAGCGAACAAGUACCGUGAGGGAAAGAUGAAAAGCACUUUGGAAAGAGAGUGAAACAGUACGUGAAAUUGUUGAAAGGGAAACGCUUCAAGUCAGUCGCGUCGACCGAGACUCAGCCUUGCCUUGGCUUGGUGUACUUCUCGGCUGACGGGCCAGCAUCAAUUUUGCCUCUCGGAUAAUGGCAAGGGAAAGGUGGCACCCUUAUGGGUGUGUUAUAGUCUCCUGUCGCAUACGAGGGGUGGGAUUGAGGAACUCAGCACGCGCCCUCGGGUGUCGGGGCUUUGGCCCACGCUUACGUGCUUAGGAUGCUGGCGUAAUGGCUUUAAACGACCCGUCUUGAAACACGGACCAAGGAGUCUAACAUGCCCGCGAGUGUUCGGGUGGAAAACCCGUGCGCGUAAUGAAAGUAAAAGUUGGGACCUCCGUCGUGGAGGGCACCGACGCCCGGACCAGACCUUCUGUGACGGAUCUGCGGUAGAGCGUGCAUGUUGGGACCCGAAAGAUGGUGAACUAUGCCUGAAUAGGGUGAAGCCAGAGGAAACUCUGGUGGAGGCUCGUAGCGAUUCUGACGUGCAAAUCGAUCGUCAAAUUUGGGUAUAGGGGCGAA
rnacentral:rRNA from 1 species